rnacentral:rRNA from 1 species
GUAGUCCACGCCGUAAACUAUGGGUGCUAGCUGUGAGAAGUAUCGACCCUUCUCGUAGCGUAGCUAACGCGUUAAGCACCCCGCCUGUGGAGUACGGUCGCAAGACUAAAACAUAAAGGAAUUGACGGGGACCCGCACAAGCGGUGGAGCGUGUUGUUUAAUUCGAUGGUAAGCGAAGAACCUUACCCAGGCUUGACAUCCUUGUAAUUUCUCCGAAAGGAGAGAGUGCCUUCGGGAUCAAGUGACAGGUGAUGCAUGGCCGUCGUCAGCUCGUGUCGUGAGAUGUUAGGUUAAGUCCUUCAACGAGCGCAACCCUUAUGAAUAGUUGUAUUUUUCUAUUCAGACUGCCCUGGUAACAGGGA